CAGAAUUUCUCAUUACCUCCUUUGUACCAAAUCCUUUUCAAACCAAACCAACAUGGUCUCCAAACCAUCAUCCUUAGAGCACUCAAUCUCCUCUAACCAAAGUACCUCUUAACCAAUUCCAAAAUCCCCCAUACUCGUCCCGCCGGAAACUAGUAGACGAAGAGUUUCGAGAAAAUCUACAUCCUUUUCUAGUUUAUUUGACCAAAGAAAACCUUUCGACCUCAUGGGAAGUGAUGCAGAUGUAUACUUGCUAUCGUCACACUACAAAAAAAUGCUUAAAUUGCGGCGGUUUAAUAGCGGGGGUCAGCUACAACCCCCGCAAAUUUCAUUAAAUAGCGGGGGUUUACAUGUCCGACACAAAUAAAAGAAACUAGCAGGGGUUUGGAACCUCCACCAUCUGGGAAAAAAAUAGCGCCAAUUUUUCCCUCACUUUUUUUUUGGCUUGGCUCUUUUUUCUCUGAAACAAAAAAGGUGUCUCAAACCCUCCCUCUCUCUCAAAACCCUCUGUGUCUCAAAACCUCCCUCUCUCACUACUUUUUAUUCCACCCCAACUAUAAAGGGUGCUGAUUAAAUAGAAGCUGGAGUUUUUGAAUUUAAGGCCAUUGAUCUCAAAGGUAAAUUUUUGCUCAAAAUUCUCAAUAUUCUUAACAUUCUACAAACAAAAGGGCACGCAGCUUUUAGCUCAAAUUUCUCAAUUUUUUUUUAUUUUUUUUUUGUGAAUUUUUCUAAUGUGUCCCUCACUUUUUUUCCACAUAAUUUGCAGAUCUUUUCCUUGAAGAGCCAGUUCUUUAGAAAUACCAUAACAAUCAUUUUUUGUUCCCUUUAUUUUUACUUUAGAAGCAAUUUUCUUGUAUGUAUACAUAUUUGUUCAAAGACCCUUCCACAACGAAGGUUAGAUGAUUGCAAAUACCUUCCCAACAACAUCACCUACCAAAACUAUACAAAAGAGGACUUAAUAGAUCCAGAUUACUACCCAUAAAAGAAAAUUAAAAAAAAAAAAAAAAAAAACAGGUCGAAUUGUCAGCAAAAUUCCACAAAUUAGAGGCAAAUCAAGAGAUACAGACUUCUUCUUCUUUGGAAAAUAUUGAAUCAUCCAUUUCUGAUUCAUUAUUGAAUUGUAGAUAUGCCAAGGUUCAAGCGUUUGCAGAAGAAGCAAAAUUCAGUUCAGUCAGUAUCUCAUCCAGUUGCUGAAUUAGGACCUUCUUUUCUUCAAUCAACGCCAUGCCUGCCAACACAUCCGACUAUGUCAUUUCGGGCAACAACACAUCUGGCCCCAUCAUUUCAGCCUACAUCGCAGGCGACUCCAACAUUUCCGCCGGCAUCACAGCCGUCUCGAUCAGUUCACUCAAUAUCCCAUCCAGCUCCGAUGGAUCAGGUAGCACCACACCCGGCUCCAGCAGUUCACCAAGCAUCACAACCAUCUCGAUCAGUUCACUCGACAUCAAAUUUGGCUUCGACAGAUCAGGACUCACCACAACCAUCUCUGUCAGUUCACUCGACAUCACAUUUGGCUUCGACAGAUCAGGACUCAACACAGCCAGCUCCAACAGUUCAGGCCGCAUCCAAAAAGUGUUCUAGGUCGCAUUGGAUUGUAGAUGCAAUAGAUUCAGAAGAAAGUAUCAGGAAACUCAGAGUGAAAGUUAAUGAAGUGAUUAAUUUAACGUGUGAAGAACGUAUUGUGGUUGAUUUUGAUUACUUGGAUGAACCAUUUGGUGAUGGACGCGGCCUUCUUUCACGCUUUUGUGGAAUUUUGGCGUGUGACUGCUCUUUAUUUCCAAUCAACUUUGAGAAAUGGUCAAGUUUACCUAUUUCAUACUUCAACCGAGUCUUCGAUCAAAUUAUAAAGCCCAAGUUCUUCUUUAGGACAACCGAGUCAGUUGCAAUGGGACAUGUCUAUAAAUCUAUUGUAAAGAAGUGGGCUGCAAAUAAAAAUAACUUGUGGAAGAUACAUGAAGACCUGCUUAAAAGUAAAACUGAGAUUAUUUAAAGUGUGCCGGAUGGGAUUCCACAUGAUCAAUGGAUUUCUUUUGUUGAUUACCAAUAUAAAGAUUCAACAAAGGCAAUGCGAUUAAGAAAUGCUGAAAACCGAAAGAAAUAGACUAUACCACACACAGGCGGCUCCAAAGCCAAUGCUACGAGAAGGGCUGAAAUGAUGGCUCAGACUGGACAAAGGCCUGGACGAGCACAAAUAUACCUUGCUACUCAUAAGAAUCAAGAUGGAGUAUAUGUUAAUGAAGCAGCAAAAGAAAUAUGCGAAAACAUUGAGUUAGCUUUAGGCCAAAGCACCAUAGACAAGUCUCAAAUUUCGCGAAAUGAUGCCGUCGGCAAGGUGCUAGGAGAAGAGCACUCUGGGAGGGUGAGGUGCUUGGGAUUAGGACCUGUCCCCAGUAAAGUUUUUAAACAAGCAAGACCUCGUUUCGGCGGUACAAGUGCUUCAAGAAGUGAAGGUUCAUGUUCGUCCCAAUGUCAACUGAACCAUAAGAAAAUGAUGAUUGCUUAGGAAAAAAUGAUGAAUGCUUUCAAGGCAUAUAUGAUAAUGAAAGAAGGGACGAUACCAGAACAGUUUGCGGGGUUCUUUGCUUCUUCUUCGGCGAUUUCUCCUACAACAUGAUGCGGCUAGUGGAUCCCUUUCGCCCAUGGAUGCAAGAAGAUCAUGCGGUGAUAGUAAUCCUAGUGACAACCGUUGAUUUCAUUGUAUUGUUUGGUAGGAACGGAUGUUAGAACGCUGGAGUGAAUGUAUUGUGUUUAAAUUUAGUUUUCGAGUGAUCUGAUAAUGCUACUUAAAUUUUUAGUUUAAAAAACUAAUGGUACUUUAUGAUAACAUUUGUGAUUUUACGAUAUGUUAUUGAUAUCUCUUAAAGUUUUAA